GACUAGAUGAUGUCCCUUCAGAAAUCCCUUCCAACCUAAAUUAGUCUGUGAUGGAAGGCACCUGUUUCUAAAACAACAUAAAAAGAGUGGUGUUAAAUGCAUCAGUUUUGUUAAUGAACGGAUACAUGAUGGACUGCGCAAGAAGUCUGCCACAAGAGGGAGAAAACAGUGGAUCAAACACUGAACAGCACGAGGCUUGUGUGGGUGGGCGGGAGCUGAGCUGGAAACUUUCUCGCAGACUUCAUUCUUGUGCAAGGGGCAAACCCCAAAUGCCUGCUGAGUGUGAAGCCUGUAAUGUGUGAGCUAACGAAAUAGGGGACAUUACUUGGUUGCUGUCCUGAUGCCAGGAGGAUCUGGUGCCAGGCUUUGACAAUUGCGUCCAACACAGAGGAACGUGGAUUUCAACUGCUGCAUUUUCCGAAGAAGAACCAACUGCAGCCUUACCAGAAGGAGGGCGUUUUGGCUCUGCUUAUGCUAUUAAAUCUGUGUCUGCAGACUGGAAAUUUUCCCAUUUAAUUGCCGUCAGCAAAUAAUUGUGGUAUCUCUUUGCUUUAACAAACUUGAAAAUGAAGCGAAAUCCAGCAAAGUUGUUGCUAUGGCUGUUGAUGUUCCUCUCUGACACUGUGCCGUUCAUCUGCGAGAAAUCAAUGAGAGAGAGAGCUAUCAAGCUGAUGCAAGAUACACGUUUAAUUGAUGGCCACAAUGACUUUGUACUACGGCUGAGAAUGUUUUACCAAAAUAGAAUCAGUAAAGUCAACUUAAGAGAAGUCAACAAGACCCAUACAAACCUUGUGAAACUUAAGGCUGGUUAUGUGGGAGCCCAGUUUUGGUCAGUGUAUGUUCUUUGCAGCGCCCAGAACAAGGAUGCUGUGCGUCUGACCUUAGAGCAAAUUGAUGUUGUCAAGAGGAUGUGUAACAGCUAUGAAGAGCUUGAACUUGUGACAACUUCCCAAGGUGUCUCUGACAGUACGAAGAUUGCGUGUUUGAUUGGAAUAGAAGGUGGUCACUCCAUUGACAGCAGUCUGGCAACACUGAGGAUGUAUUAUGACCUGGGUGUUCGUUACAUGACUUUAACACAUUCUUGCAAUACUCCUUGGUCUGAAUCUUCAUCUAAAGGAAUACACAACUUUUAUCCUAAUGUUACUGGUUUGACUGCAUUUGGCCAAGAAGUGGUAAAGGAAAUGAAUCGCCUGGGUAUGCUGAUAGAUUUAUCUCAUACUUCAUAUUCCACAGCAACAACUGCACUAGAUAUCUCAGAAGCACCAGUAAUUUUCAGCCAUUCUUCUGCAUUUUCUGUUUGUAAUCACUCCAGAAAUGUUCCUGAUGAUAUCCUCCAGAAGCUGAAAAUGAACAAGGGAAUUAUUAUGGUGACAUUCAAUGCAGAUGUACUGGCCUGUGGCAGAAAAGUUGUUAAUGUUUCUACCCUAGCAGAUCAUUUUGACCACAUAAAGAAAAUCGCAGGUUCAGAAUCAAUAGGAAUUGGUGGUGACUAUGAUGGAGUGGAACGUUUCCCUGAGGGACUGGAAGAUGUUUCGAAAUACCCUUCCUUGAUUGAGGAACUUCUAAGAAGAGGGUGGAAUGAAACUGAACUAAAAGGGGUCUUAAAGGAGAACUUCCUCCGUGUCUUCAGGGAUGUGGAAAAUGUGCGGAAGAAUGAUAGACUAAUGGAUGUAGGUGAGAGUGAAAUCCCACAUGAAGAAGUACAAAAUUCCUGUCGCCUAGACCUACGUAAUACUCAGAUUCAGCCUGACAGGAACCCUGAAAUAACUGUGCAACUUUGCUGCAGAAGGAAGGCCAUGGUAUUGUGAGGCUCCAGAGCUCUACUCUGCAUUGGAAGCUAGUUCCCCCGUGGUGGACAGAAGAAAGCCAGGUAGAUUUAAACCUGCAGGCUCGUGGAGGUAGGUAGUUAGCUUCAUCUUCAUUCAAAUGCGGCCUAACCUGGAGAGAAGUUUGAGCAGGUACUCAAGAAAAGGAAAUGUGGAUGACACAAUGUAAUUGCAGCAAGUCCUUGAUGACAGUGUUUCUGGCAGCAAAUCACUUGGUCAGGCUAUGUGGAACUAGAUAGACUGCAUCAGGGUAGGAUAACCUCUACUUCACAAAAUUUUGCACAGAUGUGCAAUGAUAUAGAAGUCCCCCUUACCAUUACUCCCCAUAAAGCUAUUUGAGAAAACUUCAGAUAAACUGCUUGCAUGAAACCAACAUCAAAGUGAAAAAUCAUUGAGCAAGAAGUGGAAUCUUUUGCAUCUUGUAAUGAUUAUGCACAUGGUAUCUAGCUUAUCUAGUAGAUGUAGUUACUUUCUUUUUUCUUAAACAAUCAAAAUCACACAAUCAUGGAAUGAAAUGUCUUAGAAAGGCAUCUAAUUAGAAUCACAUUUCAAAAGUGAAAUAAGAUACAGUUGUGACUGCUGUCAUAAAAAUUAUAGUGACCCUUCAGUCUGAGUGCUUAGUGUCUCCAGUCCCACUGUCAUCAGGUUGUGAAAGUAGUGUCACAACUAUGCAUUUUCAGUAGCUGAAACAUAAAAUGAUUGUAUUCUGAUUUUUGUCUCCCAAUAGUUAGGAUGAUUAAUCCAGAAAUUGGAUGCCUUUGCUUUGCACCAAUUAAUAGGAACAAUUUGCACUGGUAAUUUGAAAUGGAUGAUAGCUAAACUGAGAUUCUAUUACAGUUGGUGGUAUCAGUGAAGUAUCAGAUUUAAUUAAGAUAGCAACUUUGUAAUAGGCUUUAUGGUAGCCAAAUGGAAGAAAUCAAGUCAUUAUUCACCUCUUCUAAAUAAUGGGUUGUGAAAAUAUGAAUUUUGAAAACAGUUACUACUAUUUCUGUAAGUAUCAUACUUCAUGUGCUACAGGGUAGUUUAGGUUCAUAUUGUAAAUAGGAGCUGAACUUCAAGACAUCCUUAAAAAUGUAAGGCUUGUGCUUUCAUGUGUGAUAUGCCCAGCCAAAAACUGCAAACAAAAUAUUGAUGCAAAUUUAUGAUUUGAUUCUAAAGGGUUGAUGCCAGUACUCUUCCUCCUGUGCUACCCUUUUAGAUUAAUGGGCUGUAGCAUAAACAGACAUAGAUGACUACUACAGUUCUUGUUUGUCUCAUCUACGUAAGUAGUGAUGGCAGAAACCAGGCCCAAAAAUUCUGUCCUUACACAGAGCCAAUCUGUUAGGUAAAAUCUGAGUAGUUAAGUUCAUUUAUUUAACUACUCACUACUCAGUGAGUACCAUGUUUAGGCCAUGAAAGGACUUUUACAUGUUUUACAUUGGAUGUGGAAUACUUAAAUAUAAAGUUCAGUGGGCAUCCGCCCCACAGAAUCAACUUUGAAAGGACAAAUAUCAUUGCAUCUCCAUCAUCUUCUGAAGUAAAGUACUACUGUCAACUUUGACUGCUUCACUGCUACCCUGCAUCUUGGCUGCAUGUUGUUUCCCUUGUGACAGCAUUGCUGAUUGUGUAAAUACACAGCAAGCUGGUUUAGGAAGCUGAUCUAGCUGGAAUUACUCUUUUCCUCUCUCCAGCAAUAGGUUUUCUGCUGAUCAUCUCUGACGAAGUUAACAGUGUUCACAAUUAGAGGAGAAGCAGAACAAGACUGCAGCAAUUGAAACUUGGAUUUAUUCUGUUUGCUAUUUGUAGCAAAAAUGCUGUCACGGCCUGAAGCAGUGAUGGAGCACCUGGUGGGAAGCCAGGGCCAACCCAGGGGAGCUCAGGUGCAUGCAAUGUACCCGAGUGACUGGAGGGCGUGGAUCCUUCCCAGAUCUCAUUUAAGGGUUGGCAGCGGAGGUUAAGAGUAUCCUUCUGGAGAUUCCUGUAUACUUGAGGCCUUCUAAAAGUAAGCAGUUUCUUUCCCUUGUUUCUGUGCCUAUGGCUGUUAUGUUUGAGCAAAUCCCCACUUGCUGCAGCCUGGCAUCUUGCUGCUCUGCUGUCAUUGUUGUGCUUUCCAUUGUGUUACACUAUUGAUAACAAUUGCUCAUCUGUUCACCUUUCCCUGAACAAAUGCAUGUGGAAACAAUCAAUUUGCUUCAAAUUCUGAAAAUGCAACAUGAUUAGUCUACCACUCCUUCCCUUCUCUUAAAAAGCCCAACCAAAAAAACACUUUUGUGUUUGUGCUUAACGUUUGUUAGUUUUAAUCUACAGUCCAGUGUGGACUGUAGGUUAGCUGAACUGUGUUCAGGAUAGACUGAUGCUAGGUUAUUCUUCUUGCUCCAUUUCGGACCAUUUGAGGUGGUGUUUUAGGAACUAUAUAUAUUUUUUUAUCUGAUAUUGAUUUUUAUCAUAGAAUCACGGAAUCAUUAAGUUUGGAAAAGACAUCUAAGAUCAUCUAGUCCAAUUAUCAACCGAACCUCACCAUGCCCACUAAAACAUGUCCCUCAGUGCAACGUCUACUAUUUUCUUGAACGCUGCCAGGUACAGUUGCUCCACUGCCUCCCUAGGCAGCCUGUUCCAAUACCUCACCACCCUUUCAGAGAAUAAAUUUUCCAAAUAUCCAACCUGAUCCUCCCUUGAUGCAACUUAAAGGCCAUUAUCUCUCAUCCUAUUGCUGUUACCUGGAAAAAGAGGCCGACUUCCACCUUGCUACAACCUCCUUUCAAGUAAUUAUCUUGACAGCUUACUGACAAGCCUAACAUCUAAGAAGAACACCUUGAAAUGGUUGUUGGGUGUUUGGUGCUCCUAUAAUAUUCCCUUUGAAAAAAGAACACAAAACUUGAAUCUAAAAUCUUUCAUUAGCUUUCAUAUUUACUUACAAUAUUAUUAUGUAAUUGCUAUCAGAGAAAAAAACAAAAUUCCAUAGAAAAAGGAAAGCAUUUUCAUCCUAGUACUGUAUUUUGUAAGUGUCAAGAUCUCUGGUGACUAAGAUAAAAGCCUUAGUCACCUGAUGUCUAGUAUUACUAGAUGAGUUGUUCACACCUUGUUUGAGUUCCUCAAAUUGCAAAGGUGACAGUUCUUUCUCCAGUGUAUAUGUUGUUUGAGAAAUUGUUGCAAUUUACCAUUUUUUUUUCAUUCAGAGCAAAAGCAGCACACAACCACUCUUCUGUGCACCAUGUUCCUGUGGCCUCAGAGGAGAUAUUAGACAAGGUUCAGCUGCUUCUGUCAUGAAAAAAUCUGUCAUGGGGAGGGACAACAAAUUGUAAAAAACACUACCUCAUUGAAAUGCUGCUGCUUCUAGUCAUCUCAAGUGAGAGAUCGCUCAAUUUUGCUCUGUUUCUGCUGAUUUGUAAACUUCACUGGGAUGAUACUUUCCCCUGUGUAAUGGGUAGGUAUUUUUCUCUGAAGACUUUUCUCUGUAUCUGGCUUCAGUAUUUUCAUAAAGUAUUUCUUUCACCUGUGAAGUCAGCAGUUUUACAAUGAAAGAAAAACAAGAUAUCUGGCAAGCAUUCAAAUUUCCCAUGCUGAGAAACAAAAUAGAUUUUAAAAUAGCUAAUGUUAAAACUGAAGGUAAUAUGAGUUCUGUCAGACAAAUAAAAUGAAGGUCUCUUUAGUCUGAAUACAAAUGUUUGCAAAAAAAAAAACCCCAAAAACUAACAACCCAACCCUUUUGAAAUGUCUGUUGAUUAAAUUUCCAGAGCAUCCUCCUGUAGAUAAACUCAGAACAUCUAAAGAAUCUUGGCUGUGCUUAGUUUCUUCUCUGAGUCAUUCAUUAAAAAAUAAAUAGAUCGUGACAAAUCUAAAUACUGAAAAAUUGUUACGUAAAAAAAAAAAACAACAAAACAAAACCAAAGAGAGAUUAAUGAAAGAACAAAAGAAAAAAAGUGCAACAAACAAUGGAGUGUUUUUCCAGCGUCUCAAUCCUACCCUGAAAAUUACUGCAACAGUAAUUAAUUUUAGCAGUUUUAGAGGAGAAAAGUUUGAUCCAGUUUGUCUUACUUUAAAGUACAAAAUCUGAAUUUGAAGGGAAAAAUAAAAAAAUUUAGACUUAGUGAUUUUUCACUGUCUAAAGAGGAGUUCAAUGUAUAUUUGUAGAAAAUGUCUAUUUCAUGUACCAAAUACGGUUAUGAGUAACUUUGAAAGCGGGGAAGAAGGAAGUUCCUUGAAGUAAACAAAUUUGGAUGAUAAGUGGCACCAUAGUGUCCUCUUGUGGUCUUUAAUGUGUAAGCCAUGACAUAUUUUCUAGGAGAACAGCAGCAAAAAUGUUCCACUGCUGCUAACAGACCAGCCCUUGUACAAAUGAAACUUGACCUUUCUUUACCUUACUUUUCUCCUAGAAAUGUCUUAUGGAGGACUGCAUUUUGCAUCUCCCAUAAACUCUUAAUACUCUCUCCCCAGUUCUUAAUGCAUAAAUACACAUGGUCCCCUCCAAUGGACCUCUUUCACAGACUGCUCAUCUUUGUUCAGGAUUAAAUAGAAGCUGACUUUUGUCUGUGAGAAACCUUUGCAACCAGGUUACCAGUUUCCGGCCUGCUUUGUUAAUAAAGCUGGUUUGAUCCUCAAAUGUGGAGAAGCAGGAAUGUGCUGAAAAUGGAAGCUCACUGUGAUCAAAUCCUAGCUAUGAAUUUGCAGGAUUUCUGCCAAGCCUUCUGUUCAGGGAAGCUGUACCUUGGAUGUGGCAUGUUUUGUUAGGAUAGUUUUUCUGAUGGUCAGCUUUAGGCUACUUGUCACCCAGAUUACACCUGAGUGGGGAAAAAAUCCUUUAAAACAAUAAGUUAUGGACUCAUUGUGGUAGAUAUUCCAGCACAACAGGACAAGGGGCAUCUGGAUCCCCUGCAAUAACCCUUCAAAUUCCUCGGAGUAAACACCAUCAUAGCCCAAAUAGGAUACUUCUAGCUUGCAGUACAGCAGAAGUUGUGGUGUUUAAAUACCUGUUUCUAAGUUUUAAACAGUAGUUGGUUUUAAAACUUGCAAGUAUUUGUUCCUUCCAGGUGUCAAGGCUUUGUGCCCCAGCUGUGUGGGAGAUAUCAGAGCAGGACUUAAGUUAUACUUAGAAUAUUUUAUUAUUUUUUUAUUUAUGCUGUGUACAAAUUUUCAAGCUUGUACUCUAACUACAAGCCCUAUUUCUGUUCUAGAUGGAAUAUAUUUUUUUUCUGGAUUACCAUUCUCCUACUAACUCAAUGAUUCUGGAUAUCUCAGAAAUACUUUUCAUGACACACGGUUUAGAAAUUUCCCAUAGUUUCAAGGGUAGGUUCAUAGCUUGUCCCGUUGACAAAGAGGGAUGCAUUAUACUGGUCUGUAUUAACAGAUAUAUAAUCUGAUUAUCAUUUCAAACAUCUGAAUGUAGGUAUUCCACUCAAGGAGUUUUACGUCUCAUGGAUAAACAGAGUUAUGGAUGUUUGCAGGCUUCUAGGCCAGUGCGUCCUGUGCAUGCCCCUCCAAGCAGGCCAUGUAUUCAGCCUGGAGACACAAACAAUAGUCAACAGGGACAGUAAUAACUGGGCAGGUUACUCUGCCAAUGAGACAUUUCAAAGCUUCAUUUAAAGAAAGUUCAUUUAUAAUUUCUACAAAGCUUUCUGUGGUAUGUUGUAACAAAACAACCUGAACAAUGUUAGUGGCAGCACAACUUACAGAUGAAUUUUACAUUUUUCAUCAUCUGCAUUGUAAUUUUUUGGUGUUUCUCUCUAAGGAUUAUGUUUUUCACUUGGCCUUGAUUUCCCUAUGUAGAAAAAAUCAUUAAUAUUAUUAUUAUUUUAAUUUAUAAUUUCUCCAUUAAAUUCAGGAAGUAGGGAAGAUAUAAGCUAUCUCCAAACACAGCUUCUGAUGCUGGGUCGUCUUAUCUUUGAACAAAUGGCAAAUCACUUUCAUUGUGAAGGAGGUAAAAUGGUGUUACUUUUUCUCUUUGUUGGUUGUUAACAUCACGUAUUGCAAGCCUGUAAGCUAACAAUACUCUGGAGCUCAUAUAAAAAGGCAUUUGAUGUACUACAUCACCUGAGGCUGAGUCAGGCUGUGGUAACUUUACUGAUAGUAAUUCUGUGUUCACUUUCUCCCAGGAUGACUACAGGCAAAUCAUGCCAGAAGCUGUAGAUCAUCUGUUGGGGAUGGGAAAGAACACCUUGCACUUGCAUACAAUUUCAGUGCGAUGGGUUUAAUGAUACUUAACCAUUCUGUAGUGGCCUUGAUGUAUUUUUGGUACCUAAAGGAAGACAGCUCCUUGCCAGACCUGCUUUCAAAAGCAAGAUGAGAAGGAGGACAGCUUACUUAGACCAGAUGCUUUCACUUAAGAGUUUUAUAAAGUCAAAAACAGGAAAGAAGACAGAAGACUAAGCAUAAACUAAGUUACUCAAUGAUUCUUAUACUUGUGAACACUAACGAGACAGAACUCAGCCUUAAGAAGUUAAACAGAAAAUGCUACCUGUUGGUCUAUUUUUCUGCAUUUCUCUGGGGGAAAAUACAUUGCUGGAGAUAACUCAGUGGACUGAGUGGCACACUAGUAUGUUUUCAGUCUGUCAGUACUAAUACUUCUAAAAUCAAAAGAAGCGCUUUCUAAAUUCUCAAAAUUUGUCUAAAUUACUAACAGCUUCUUUGGGUGGGUAAACUUCACAGACUUCAGUGUGAUUACAUACAAAAACAUGAAGAUACAUUGUCAUCUUCCUUAACUGAGCAAAAUGACACAAGUAAGAUGUAGUGUAUAUGAAAACACAGGAGUCUUAGAAGUCUUUCCACUUGUCUGAUCAGUGCUAGGAGGUGUAAUUGUUCUGGCUUUCCCCAGAGGUGGUCUACGGACAAGUUUGUGUUAAGUGAACUGAGAGACCUGUAACCCCCUGGCUGCAGCCACCCCACAGCAUGGAUUCUGACUGUUUAUUUCAAAACCCACCUAAUUAAGAGUAGACCUAUUACUCAUGAACAAAGCAUUUUCUCUGUUGCUUGUCUCUCUUCUGCUCAUUACAGGUUUUUCUUUCUCCAAGUGACCUAGGGGUUGCUUUGUCAAAAAGGCAGGACAAAUUCAUAAAGCUAGAGAUAAGGUUCUUCUGAGUACAAGAAAUGUUGAAAGUCUUCCCUCUUUCUCUGCUCUAAGGCUUGUAUCCUCCCAUAGACUCCUAUAUAGAACAAAACAUCAGUACUACCCUGACUUGUCGCUGAUUUAUUAAGAUGUAUUUUUAAUCAAAAAUCUACAAAACUAGUUUGAGUUGGUACUCUGUAGUAAAACUCACGUAGCAAAAUGUAGGAACGGUUCUGUAAAGCUUUUUUCUCUGAUGACUGCAUAAUAUAUUAAAUAGGGAUCCUUUUACUUUCAAGAGUAGCUUUCCAAUGCAGACAAUAAAUAGCAUUAGCAACUAUUAAUUGAUCUUUAAACCCCUUGUGAGGGCUGCCGCAUACUAAAUAAAGGCCGAGAUGCCCAGCGCUGGCGCCAGCUUUUUUCCAACGUGCAGGCAGAAUUGGCUCUUGCUGCCUCGGGGACAAGAGGCCGAGACAGCCGUGCCCCGGCCGCAGGGACCCGCCGUGCGCGCUGCCGCCAG